GUGUCAGCAGCCGCGGUAAGACAGAGGGUGCAAACGUUGUUCGGAUUUACUGGGCGUAAAGCGCGUGUAGGCGGCUUGGCAAGUCGGAUGUGAAAGCCCACGGCUCAACCGUGGAAGCGCAUCCGAAACGGCCUCGCUCGAGUCUCGGAGAGGAAGGUGGAAUGCUUGGUGUAGAGGUGAAAUUCGUAGAUAUCAAGCAGAACACCUGCGGCGAAGGCGGCCUUCUGGACGAUGACUGACGCUGAGACGCGAAAGCGUGGGGAGCAAACAGGAUUAGAUACCCUAGUAGUCC
rnacentral:rRNA from 1 species